UGGGGAAUCUUCCGCAAUGGGCGCAAGCCUGACGGAGCAACGCCGCGUGAGUGAAGAAGGGUUUCGACUCGUAAAGCUCUGUUGUCGGGGACGAAUGUGGAGGUUGUGAAUAACAGCUUCCAAUGACGGUACCUGACGAGGAAGCCACGGCUAACUACGUGCCAGCAGCCGCGGUAAUACGUAGGUGGCGAGCGUUGUCCGGAAUUAUUGGGCGUAAAGGGAGCGCAGGCGGGAGAUCAAGUCUAUCUUAAAAGUGCGGGGCUCAACCCCGUGAGGGGAUGGAAACUGGUCUUCUUGAGUGCAGGAGAGGAAAGCGGAAUUCCUAGUGUAGCGGUGAAAUGCGUAGAUAUUAGGAGGAACACCAGUGGCGAAGGCGGCUUUCUGGACUGUAACUGACGCUGAGGCUCGAAAGCGU
rnacentral:rRNA from 1 species